rnacentral:tRNA from 2 species
GCAGUCCUGGCCGAGUGGUUAAGGCGAUGGAAUAGAAAUCUAUUGGGGUCUCCCCGCACAGGUUCUAAUCCUGUCAAGUGCU